CGUAGGACACAAGCGUUAUCCGGAGUUACUGGGCGUAAAGGGCGUGUAGGCGGAUCGGUAAGUCUACUCUGAAAGCUCCUGGCUAAACUGGGAGAGGCGAGUGGAGACUGUCGGUCUAGAGUGAGGAAGAGGAAAGUGGAAUUCCGCGUGUAGUGGUGAAAUGCGUAGAGAUGCGGAGGAACACCAGUGGCGAAAGCGGCUUUCUGGUCCUUAACUGACGCUGAGGCGCGAAAGCAUGGGGAGCGAACGGGAUUAGAAACCCCGGUAGUCCAUGCCGUAAACGAUGUUCACUAAACGUUCGUUUCCCGCGAGGGAAGUGGGUGUUGAAGCAAACGCAGUAAGUGAACCGCCUGGGGAGUACGGUCGCAAGGCUA
rnacentral:rRNA from 1 species